CUUAAAAAUAAUUCUAAAAUAAAACUAUUAAAAUCACAAUGAGUUUCCCCAGUUAGUCUUUAUCAAGUGACAGUAUAAAUCAAUAAUGUCUAUACUGUCAUUUGAAAAAAAAAACCUAACCUAAACCUAACUGGUAAAUACAUUAUAUUGCUUCAGUAUGGACCAUGGGGCAAUUUGGAGAUAAAUGUGCUUGUGUUAUUUAUCAUGAUUACUAAAAGGCUAGUUUUAUUAUACAUGUGAUCUACACUACUAUGAUACAAUGUUUAACAGUAAAAUGAAAAAAUACAAAAGCAUUUGCAUUUUUGUCGAACAAACCAUUCAUAGUUUGACUUUUUUUUAUUCUUUCAUUUUGCCAUCCAUGGAUAAUACAAAACAGCAUUCUCUGUACUGUUGUGCAGCAUAAAUCUUAAUAAACAGGUCAUGCGAGAGCAGUAAAGUGGGCUUAAACUGCUCAUUUUCUAAUUAGAGAGUUCAAGAGAAAAGAAAAACACAGUUCAAGUGAUGUAUGGCAUGAAGUAUUAUGGAAUGUAGGUUAUCUGUACUAUGACAAAAUUAGUUAUAAAUAACAUGAAAAUAAAUUGCAAAGUGUAUCUGGUUAAUAACUAAAAGGAUCGUAGCAGAGUGGAGCAUAACUGGUAGCUAAUGAUAGUGCCACAGGGUACCAACAGUAAAGAAGUAGGCGAUUUAACAUAUAAAAUCUGUGUUAAAAAGUCCUCAAUAAAAGUCCUUUAAAAAUGGCCAAUACGCGUUUCACUCUCAAAUAGAG